AGCGAACGCUGGCGGCAGGCCUAACACAUGCAAGUCGAACGGAUCCUUCGGGAUCAGUGGCGGACGGGUGAGUAACACGUGGGAACGUGCCCUUUGGUUCGGAACAACUCAGGGAAACUUGAGCUAAUACCGGAUGUGCCCUUCGGGGGAAAGAUUUAUCGCCAUUGGAGCGGCCCGCGUCUGAUUAGCUAGUUGGUGAGGUAAAGGCUCACCAAGGCUACGAUCAGUAGCUGGUCUGAGAGGAUGAUCAGCCACAUUGGGACUGAGACACGGCCCAAACUCCUACGGGAGGCAGCAGUGGGGAAUCUUGCGCAAUGGGCGAAAGCCUGACGCAGCCAUGCCGCGUGAAUGAUGAAGGUCUUAGGAUUGUAAAAUUCUUUCACCGGGGACGAUAAUGACGGUACCCGGAGAAGAAGCCCCGGCUAACUUCGUGCCAGCAGCCGCAGUAAGAC
rnacentral:rRNA from 1 species